AGAGUUUGAUCCUGGCUCAGGAUGAACGCUAGCGACAGGCUUAACACAUGCAAGUCGAGGGGCAGCACAGGUAGCAAUACCGGGUGGCGACCGGCGCACGGGUGAGUAACGCGUAUGCAACUUGCCUAUCAGAGGGGGAUAACCCGGCGAAAGUCGGACUAAUACCGCAUGAAGCAGGGAUCCCGCAUGGGGAUAUUUGCUAAAGAUUCAUCGCUGAUAGAUAGGCAUGCGUUCCAUUAGGCAGUUGGCGGGGUAACGGCCCACCAAACCGACGAUGGAUAGGGGUUCUGAGAGGAAGGUCCCCCACAUUGGUACUGAGACACGGACCAAACUCCUACGGGAGGCAGCAGUGAGGAAUAUUGGUCAAUGGACGCAAGUCUGAACCAGCCAUGCCGCGUGCAGGAUGACGGCUCUAUGAGUUGUAAACUGCUUUUGUACGAGGGUAAACGCAGAUACGUGUAUCUGUCUGAAAGUAUCGUACGAAUAAGGAUCGGCUAACUCCGUGCCAGCAGCCGCGGUAAUACGGAGGAUUCAAGCGUUAUCCGGAUUUAUUGGGUUUAAAGGGUGCGUAGGCGGUUUGAUAAGUUAGAGGUGAAAUUUCGGGGCUCAACCCUGAACGUGCCUCUAAUACUGUUGAGCUAGAGAGUAGUUGCGGUAGGCGGAAUGUAUGGUGUAGCGGUGAAAUGCUUAGAGAUCAUACAGAACACCGAUUGCGAAGGCAGCUUACCAAACUAUAUCUGACGUUGAGGCACGAAAGCGUGGGGAGCAAACAGGAUUAGAUACCCUGGUAGUCCACGCAGUAAACGAUGAUAACUCGUUGUCGGCGAUACACAGUCGGUGACUAAGCGAAAGCGAUAAGUUAUCCACCUGGGGAGUACGUUCGCAAGAAUGAAACUCAAAGGAAUUGACGGGGGCCCGCACAAGCGGAGGAACAUGUG
rnacentral:rRNA from 1 species